rnacentral:lncRNA from 1 species
UCAAAGUUUACAUUAUUGUCGAUGUUUAUGCACAGUGGCUGAUUUUCCACAUUAGGAGCAGCAAGCUCCUUGAGUGUUUGUUGUCGUGCAACAGCCAUGGUGUUGAGGCGAGCUUCCUUUCGUAACCUGCGUAAAGUGUUUUCUAUUUCGAGAUCCAACUGCACUUGAAUUUGAUUAGUAGAACGGGUUACAGGCAUAAAUCUUCAAGAAAACUCAAA